rnacentral:rRNA from 1 species
GACGAACGCUGGCGGCGUGCCUAAUACAUGCAAGUCGAACGCACGAAGUUGAAGAGCUUGCUCUUUAACCAAGUGAGUGGCGGACGGGUGAGUAACACGUGGGUAACCUGCCCAUUAGAGGGGGAUAACAUUCGGAAACGGAUGCUAAUACCGCAUAGUUUCAGGAAUCGCAUGAUUCUUGAAGGAAAGGUGGCUUCGGCUACCACUAAUGGAUGGACCCGCGGCGUAUUAGCUAGUUGGUGAGGUAAAGGCCCACCAAGGCGACGAUCGGUAGCCGGCCUGAGAGGGUGAACGGCCACAUUGGGACUGAGACACGGCCCAAACUCCUACGGGAGGCAGCAGUGGGGAAUAUUGGACAAUGGGGGAAACCCUGAUCCAGCGACGCCGCGUGAGUGAAGAAGUAUUUCGGUAUGUAAAGCUCUAUCAGCAGGGAAGAAAAUGACGGUACCUGACUAAGAAGCCCCGGCUAACUACGUGCCAGCAGCCGCGGUAAUACGUAGGGGGCAAGCGUUAUCCGGAUUUACUGGGUGUAAAGGGAGCGCAGACGGCAAUGCAAGUCUGAAGUGAAAGGCGUGGGCUCAACCCAUGAACUGCUUUGGAAACUGUAUAGCUUGAGUGUCGGAGGGGUAAGCGGAAUUCCUAGUGUAGCGGUGAAAUGCGUAGAUAUUAGGAGGAACACCGGAGGCGAAGGCGGCUUACUGGACGACAACUGACGUUGAGGCUCGAAGGCGUGAGGAGCAAACAGG